CCCUGUGUCGGUUUAUUUUUUCUGAAAAAAUGGUAAUCCUGGAGAACAUACUGAAAGCUGAUUUGUAACAUUGCAGUGUUGCAUUGCAUAUAUUUGCAUACGAGAGUUACUAAGAAAUGUAAUGUUGCUGAGAACCAAGUUUCAAUAUUCUGCUUUUUCUUCAGUUAUCAAUUAGCUUAAUUGCAUACACAUGAAUAGAUAUGCUAAAUGCAUCUAGCAAAAUAGGAUUAGGAGGUGUAUUCAGUGGAGUGGAUUAUUUCGUCAAUUUACUGUAGCAAAUAUAGCUGUUGCUGACAGUAGACAUUUGUUACAUAUACCUGUAUAAUUUUGUCUUGCUGCUCAAAACAGUUUCACGGAAAACAAGCCAGAAUCCGAAAGUGCUCCAUAGUUAGUUCGCCAGAAUUUCGUCGGUCGGUUCUCCGCUUCAAAUAUGUGGACGAAGAGGCUUGAAAUCAUGGUCUUUGGUUAACUCUUAUUGAAAUUAACUCUACUGUUGAGAGAGUCGUUACUGAAAGUAAUCAGGAGUUCAUUGGUGACAUAUUGGUUUUUCUUGCAAUGGUUGCUAAUUCCUACGAGGGCUUACAGGUUAACUCUUGUAAUUUUCUUCUACCAAGCGUGGAUCAGCUCCUGUAGUAGCUAUCUUUAAUUUGCAACAGGUGAUAUAUGGCGAUGAGAUGGGCUUCUUCAGCUCUUUAUUUGGCAGCUCUCUUCUGUAAUCCCCUCUAUGUUGUCAUGAAAUUUCAGCAACACAAAUUUGUGAUCCUGCCAAUUAAUCAUGAUGAUUUAGAAAGAAAUGUUACCCAGGACUAUGUACUGUACUAAUAUUCGGAAAAAUGUAUGCUUGUAUCUCUUUCAGGUCCGUGCUAGCUAUUUAUUUGAACAUUCCGAUAAUAUGUGCGAAAGGAUGAUGCCCAUAUUGACUAAUUUUCUCUCUUUUGUAGGUCAAAAAAAUGGUCUUGUGUGGGUUACAAACCAAUGCUUGCUUGCGUACACUCUGGUGCUCCAGUUAAAGAUCCAAAGCUAUAAUGUACUCCUUCCGUUUCCUUUUAGACUGCAUAUAACUUUUGUCUGAAGUCAAGGUAUCUUUAUUUUGACCAAACUUAUAGAAAAAACAUAUCAACAUUUACAAGGCCAAAAAAUAUCUUUAGAUUCAUUAUGGAAUUUAGUUUCAUAUUAUGUAUAUUUUGUAUUGUAGAUGAUGAUAAUUUUUUAUACAAAUUUGGUCAAAGUUUGUAAAGCUUGACUCAACAUAAAACUUAUAUGCGGAGUAAAAAGGAAUGGAGGGAGUAUUGUGAUGAGUAACCAUCAGUUGGUGAAGCCAUUCUCUUAUGAAUACUACUGCAUCUCUCUCAUCUCUUUUAUUGAGUGAGCACUUGCGACGGGACAUGCAGGAACAAAAACCACAAGAAGAGUACAAAUGAAGUCACAACGAGCUGAGCAGAGUAGCUGGCGAUCAAAUGAUUUCGGGUCCCUGCUAGCUAUUUCUGAUCUUGAAGCUAUUCCUUCAGGACACAUGAUUACACUAUAUUACAAGUUGAAAAAGUGUGUAAAGUGGAAGUUAGUACUAAAGCGGAUUGCUCUUUUUGAACCGCCAACAAAUUUUAG
rnacentral:lncRNA from 1 species